UCCACGUGCCAACUAAUCCAACAGUCCAGAUUCACUCCUAUGUGCACGAACAACCCAAAUCCAUUUCUCCUUCAAGUGCGAUCGAACAGUCCACGUGCCUUCAAUCGAAAGGCUCUAAUUCGCUUCCCAAAUAAGCUGGAUCUGGUGGUGGAGAUUGGACCACGCAGCCCUGAAAGAACGACUCAGAUCGAAAGCGGAGAGGUAUUUAAACCUCUCUACCCAUACCCUCAAAACUUUAGCCGCCAAGGAGGACUAGAGAAGAAGAAAAAGGGCUGCCGAAAAGCGAACUAGUCACCAGAGAAGAAGACCAACCACCGUAGUCGUUGCACUAUUGACCAAAUCGAUGCCAAAAGGUGGGUUCUUUCUU
rnacentral:lncRNA from 1 species